AAAAGUUUUUUAUAGAAAGCUCUGGGCAUCUGUACAUCCAAAUUUAUUGAAUUGUGGAUUGCAAUUCCCAUCAAUAUACCUGACAUAUGAUAGUAAUCAAUUUCUUUCGACCUGUGUGAAUAAUUAAACCAUAGAUAAUUUGAAGACUCUUCACAGUUCACAAAUAAUCCAAACUCAGGGCUAAAAACUUUCCUCGUUAAAAGCAGCAACCAUUCUCUCUUUAAUCCUCCUGCAUCGAUUCCUUCUUCACCUAAAAACUCAACUUUUAAUGCCUUUCUAAAAUCUUUAUUUCUGUCAUUAAUUUGCCUUAGGCUGUCUUCUAACAGUCGAUCUCGCCGAACACGAAUCAUCAAAUAAGGUUCAACGUUCAUUUUGGAAAGAAUUGAAGAGAAAAAUGCUUCUCUUGCUUUAAUCUCCAUUUUUCUCCGAGCAUCAAGCUGAAGAAUACUAAUUUUAGCACCCAUUGAAAGAAGAAAAGGAUACUGGCAAAAACAAAAGCAAUUGAUUUUUUGCUCCCAUAACUCAAAGUCGUGAUAAAGAUUUAUGAAAUCAGCCAUUAUGCAGUAAAAUGAAGAUCUGUCUAUCAGUCUCAUUUGCGAAUUAGCAGAGUAUAAUAAGGCCAUAGUAAUAGCUGCUGACUUAAUUUGCCAGUCAUUAUUAUAGUAGUGCUUCCUUUUGUUUCUACUGUAAGUUUCCAUUAAUCGUUGACCAAUAAACUUGUUUAUGAGAUCGACUUUUCUUCGAAAAAACUUAGGAUUGUUGUAAGGUUGUUUUUUAAAACAAGAAAUAAAAAAAUGAUGUGUCUUCUCGUUCAAGUUAGAUAAAACUCCCAAAAUCCUCUUCAAAAUGCUGCUACUCUUGUUCACUAUAUUCUUUGAUUUUGAGUUCAACAAAGGAUUUUCCAAAAGAAUGAGAAGAUAUUGAUAAUCCGCUGGAUCAUGACAAUAUAGCAUGGGUCUCCGAAGUAAACUCUCGAUAGCUCUUAACAACUCAUUUGUUAUUAAAAUGUCUAAAUUUGUAAUAUCAUGGUACAAUUGGUAAAUGAGCUUAUAAUUUAGUCCGGAAGAUUGGAUUGAACAACCAUUUUUAACCGAGAACAGUUUAUUCAAUAUCGGUGGACUUCCAAAUACUAAGGAUAUAAGUUCUCGUAAUGGUAAGCCUGCAGCCACAAUAGCUUGAACGUUGCCAGUUCGCUGCUUAGCAAGUUGCAAGGCACUUCGUGUUUGAUGAAUUGUUUCAACAAAAUGUUCAACUGAGAUAAAUUGUGAUCCAUCGGUUGAAGCUUUUGUCUUUAUUUGGGAGCCACUUAAACAAAAAUAAACAUCGUUCACAGUCAUACAUAAUGAACAACGAAAGCACAUAGCUUGUGCAGGGUAGCGCAGGACGCUAUUACAACAAAUGCAGGGCCUGAUCACCUAUAAUUUUGUUAAUAAAUUAGCCAAACAAUUAGCCUAAAUACCAAUUUCUCUGAAUUCCCGUAACUAUCAUUAGAAAUUGUCUCAUGAAACGACUGUCGAAGUCGAAGUGGAUUUUCACCCAUACGUUGACAAACUAACUCUCUUAAGCGACGUGAUAUUUUUGAAUUUGUAUUAUUGUCAAGUUCUGAGCGGCUAGAAAAACUAGAGCCAUGAAGUGCUGGGAGCGUUCUACGGUUUCCAGAAGACACAUUGGCUAUUUCAAUAGGGCGACUCAUAUAAGCAAUUCACCUUCUAAGAAAGAUCUAUAUUUCGCUCUACAGAUAAACAAUUGGGACUAACCCAAAACAAAAAGACAAAUCUGUAAAAGUAUGGUACAUAUCUAGGCCAUACUACACUAUACAUAUAUUGGUAUAGUUAUUUCUUAAAUAUUACGAUAUUCAACAGGUUCUCAUGGCGUAGUCAUUCUAACAUUCUUUCGUCAAAAGAUCAUCACAGUUGAACCAAUUUUCUAAGAUCUUUGAAGGUGAAUACUGUUAAAACAGAUAAGUUCUUUACUCUUCUUGUAUAAUAUGUAUGUCAUUAAAUGCAGAAGUAAAUAUUAUGACAUUUACAAAGAAAAUUACCAUGUCGACUUCGCAGUACCUUAUUUAAGAUUUUUGAACGUUCCUACAUUGAUGAUACCUUUCAUUUUAAAUUGUCAAAUUACCUAGUAUGUACGA